UAUCAAGCUGCCAAGGUGACAUGGAGAGGGAUAUGCAAAGUUUAUGUAGUGGGGAGCUGAAGGUACUUUAUAUAGCCACAGGAUUCUGUAGGCUCAAUCAGUAUGUGUCAUGUGGAACACCGUUCAGUGGAGUGAAAAGCAUUUCACGCUUUUGGUUUUUCAAAGGAAGCCUGUCAGCAAGUUUCCUACAGCAAAAAAUAACUGUGCUGUGGUUGAACUUCACUAAGAGUCCUAGCCAAUCAGAUAAUGUCAUACCACCAUGAGGAGGAAUUUAGGGCUUUGCCAGAGUAAUAGGGUACUAAUCACUGCUAAUAGGAUUUGUUGACACGGGCCAGGAGGGUUGGUCAUGACCAUUGGAAUAUUGAUUUUUUCCAAAUUGGCUUUUCUCUUUUCCGUCCUCUCCUUCCUCUUCCUUGACCCACUUGUUUUCCUCUUUCCGUCUUAUUUCAAUUAUAACAUAUUUACAAGAAUCCGGCAACAUGCAUUAUUGUGACCUACCGCUUUGUGAGCACCAUGACGGUUUUGGUGAGAUGCUUAAGAACAUUGGCUUAAAAUCCAGACUGCCUGGGUUUGAUUCCCCAGACAUGUCCUUUAUGUAGCCUCUGUUGACAAUGACCCCAUCACGCUCGGGGAUUAGCAACAUUCUUAGGGGGAAAAGAAAAGUGCUGCUCCCGGUGCAGGCCAGGGGCAUUCCUCAUGUGUAACAUUUCCCUCCUGUGGUUUCUUCACUCACAGCUGACCCACCACGACUCUUUACUUGCCUUGUUCAGAUGGUCCUAAAUUGUAAACCGUCCAGUCUCCUUUCCAAAGCUUUCUCUUCACAAAUUACAGCUAGAUAGGGAAGAGUAAAUUCUAGUCUUCUAUACCAUUGUAGGAUGACCAUAGUUAACAAUAAUAUAUAGUUUCCAAUAGCUAGAAGGAGGAUAUUCUGUUUUCCCAACACAAAGAAAUGAUAAAUGUUUGAGAUGAUGGAUAUGCUAAUUACCCUGAUCUGAUCACUAUACUUUAUACAUA
rnacentral:lncRNA from 1 species